UCAGAUUCAUUUCCUUAAUUAUGUAUACUACAACGGUGACAACAACACUCUAGGGAUCACAACAAUCACGCAGUUGUUUUCGUCCCUUUUCCGUCAACACGUCAGUUGCUAGGCAUGGACGCCAUUGCAACAUCGACCAAACUUCCCUAAACCUCAGUCGAGUUUCAGCAGAUUUCGUGCGUGGAAGGAGCAACUGUUAAACAGUCGCUAAUCAGCAAUCAGUUUUUACAACAACAAAGAAAUACAUAAUAAUCAAUCAAUCAGAAAAGAAUCCAUCCGAACGAUCCAGUUGAGCAGCUAAGCGCCCUGCGCUUUGUUCCUCCUGGCGGACGACUAUUGUUUCAUGCUAGUUACGCCAUUCAGCCUUGCACGAAACGGAUUCGGGAUGUGGCGCACGCCAAACUUUAUUGCAUGACGUAGGCCAGGCGUAUCUGUUUCACGUGUCCUAAUAUACUGGAUCCAUGUUUUUGUGAGCUCGUUGAAUCUCCGACUAAUACGCUAACUUUCAAGGCGCCUUAUGUUUACGUAAACAUGAGAAAUGCAACUACAAACUUGAGGCGCAUUGUUAUCGGACAAAGGUUAGCUGGAAAUGAUGAUUCAUGUCGGCCUUUACAGCGAAAGUUGGUCGAUAAGCUUUUGAGGCCUGUAAGGAUAGUAAAAACGUAUGACGCAACAACUGAACGAUAUUUACCUGGACUUGUAAAGUCAGAUGAUCAAUAUCGGUAACGGGUUGCCCAACACGUUGAUGACUGGGUUGGCCCAACAACUUUUGCCGAUCGACAUCGUCCUCCAUCUGUGCGAAAGAGUGUUCACCAACUGACACGCUGCAACCAAAUUUGGCACUGAGAUCUUGAGGCUCCUCCCACGAAUCUACGUCAAAACAAAGUCAAAAUUACAAUAACAGUUAAUAAUAAUGGUAAACACAUUUUGGGGUGGGCGAUGAACUCUGUAAACUAUUCUGGGCGGGAGUUAAUACUUUGAUUCCCUCUCUGACGUCAGUUCGAACCGGAGCGUUUCUCAAACAAAAUAAACCAACAAAACGCAAGCCAAGUCCAACACGCAGAUGAAGCUCCGCAUGUGCGACAGAAGCCGAAAAGUACGAAAGAAAAAAAAAGAAGAAAAAAAAAAAAGAGUAGGUUGCAUCAAACUAUCGAACAUCAAAAGUUACGGGGGGUUUCUGAUGCAAGCAAAGACUUGGCCCAAUCCCUCACGACAUUGGCACGGAUCGAUACCGCUAGUUCCCCUGUUGAUGGUGACAGUGUCGAACACGGGGAACUCUGGGAAGGAUUUCUACAUGGUGCAAAUUGAACAGGGCUGACCUUGACUUUAACGAAAUCAAGACAACCUGAGAAUGAGGUCACCUUUAUUUUAAAACAGCCGUCACCGGCAGUAGGGCGCGGUCGAAAACUGGCGGUUCAGUUAACACAGUAGACCCGGAUCUAAGUCGGAGGCGUAUGUGGCUUUCCCACUCCGAAAAAUAUAGAAAAAAAAUUAGGUCUAGAAAGCCUUAAUAGCUAUCUAUGGAACAAAUCGCUAUUGGCUGGAGCAGAAUUUCACUUUUUUCUCGCCGAAGGCUGAAACUACCAGCGUAACGACACACCAACGUACUGGCACCAAAUGACUCGUCCUACGCGUUCGAAAAUGUUUUUAACUAACGAUGCCGAUGUUGUAACCAAAAACCGAUAAGCUCUCAGAUUACUAUCCUAUCUUGUAAACAAAGGUGCACCAGCCUGAACCGUGACUAUGCAUCAGACUACUUGAUGACACGAAUUCCAAAGAUCACAAAAUCGUGCCUAAAUUUACAUGUUUUUACAGUCACCUUUCGUCAUUAGGGCAAUUUAGGCACACGGAAUAGAAGGAUCACAAUAGACAGACGACAGAGCCUCGAGCAUAAACCGACUGUGACAUGAACAACUGACACACUGCUGGCCUGCAGGAACUAAUCGACACAGCACCAAAGGAGAAAAUCGAAAAGAGAAAAGAAAAGCUACAUUGCCACACCUUUCAUACCGACCAACUUCAAUUGUAAUGAAAUGGUAAAAAUCUGAUGAUCAACAAUACAACUGGAAAAAAACCGAGCUUGGCGUUAUCACUUGAAGUAAUGUCGAUUCACUUCUGCUCUGGCGACUGAGCAGAUGAUGCUGCGCAACAAAACCAUGACGCACACUCUAAAGUCUCAAGAGGGUAAGGCUUUUUCUUAAAACCGGAUUCUCUUCUUGGCGCAUGCGCGUCUCCCUCUGCUUCAGAACCGCAGAGGAAACCAGUAAAGAACCAUAUCGCUUUUUAUCGUGCACCCGGCAUAAGAAUACGCCUCUGUAUUCGCUUGCAAAAUAAGCGGUAAAACGUUUUUCUAUCACACACACACACAGAAAAAAAAAUGUUUCCUUUGCUAAACAAAAGAGGCUGACCCUUCGUGUAAUAUUGGGCAAUAAAAUCCAGGGGAUUUGUGGUAAAAGGAAUUGGGACGGAAGAGUUUCUUUUGUACUCUAGCCCUUUUUUUUUUUUUGUAACCAGAAUGAGGUUUACCGCGUUUUCAUGCAAUGCGACGUCAAGUAAAGCAGAAAUGUAAUUUUUACCUUGGAACGCAUGCUGAGGAUUAUCAAUGAUGCGGAUACGUCGGUCACUGAUAAUGGGUUCACCAUUUACCGGAUCCCCAAUUUCGAAUGGCAACUGAUAACGAGAGAAUUCGGCUUCCUGGACACUGCGCGGAAAAUACAGCGGCGACAGGACUUGAUAAAUGCCAUAAUUAUUGGCGUCCAAAACGAGAAUGACGCUCUCGAUGCUGUCACCAUAUUGCUCCAAGAAUCUCCGGAUCGUCCCUUGAAUGACAAACAAGUUACUUGAUGUUAUUUCACAUUUACUAUUGGAAAUGUUUUCCACCAAUUUGCAACUAAACGAUUAUUUCGAAAAAUAGAUUAAUAUCUUUGUUGACGCAAAAAAAAUUCAACUAUUGAGUAUUGCAAUACUUCUACAACACGCUAAUAAUCAAUGGCCUACACGAUUAUGCUACUAUUCAAGACUUUCUGGCUCCAAGCCAAACUGGGGACUUUAUGGACUGUUGCCAAGUUUCCCCCUCAGCAUCGCAUCUCCCAAGACACUCAAUUGAUUUUCUCCGACUGUCAGCGUUUGUGACAGACCUCAGUCAUAACUUAAGCAAUUUUUUGAAAGAUUAAGUUAAUUAAACUUAAUAAAAAAAAAAAAUACCAUGUACCAUUUGAAAUGUAAUAAAUAAAGAUUACUGGUAAAGUCAGAGGAAAUUAGAUGAAUUACUUAAUGCCAGAUGAGCUCCUUCAUCUGGAGGGUAUCCUCUUUUGACAGUAUAGAUGAUGGGUAUAGCCACACUUGAAAGAUGAUAUUCAUGAACAAGUUCCAUUACAUUCCUGU
rnacentral:lncRNA from 1 species